UACGUAGGGUGCAAGCGUUGUCCGGAAUUAUUGGGCGUAAAGAGCUCGUAGGCGGCCUGUUACGUCUGCUGUGAAAUCCCAGGGCUUAACCCCGGGCGUGCAGUGGAUACGGGCAGGCUGGAGGCAGGCAGGGGAGAACGGAAUUCCCGGUGUAGCGGUGAAAUGCGCAGAUAUCGGGAGGAACACCGGUGGCGAAGGCGGUUCUCUGGGCCUGUACUGACGCUGAGGAGCGAAAGCGUGGGGAGCGAACAGG
rnacentral:rRNA from 1 species